rnacentral:rRNA from 1 species
GACGAACGCCGGCGGCGUGCUUAACACAUGCAAGUCGAACGGAAAGGCCCUGCUUUUGUGGGGUGCUCGAGUGGCGAACGGGUGAGUAACACGUGAGUAACCUGCCCUUGACUUUGGGAUAACUUCAGGAAACUGGGGCUAAUACCGGAUAGGAGCUCCUGCUGCAUGGUGGGGGGUGGAAAGUUUCGGCGGUUGGGGAUGGACUCGCGGCUUAUCAGCUUGUUGGUGGGGUAGUGGCUUACCAAGGCUUUGACGGGUAGCCGGCCUGAGAGGGUGACCGGCCACAUUGGGACUGAGAUACGGCCCAGACUCCUACGGGAGGCAGCAGCGGGGAAUAUUGCACAAUGGGCGGAAGCCUGAUGCAGCAACGCCGCGUGCGGGAUGACGGCCUUCGGGUUGUAAACCGCUUUCGCCUGUGACGAAGCGUGAGUGACGGUAAUGGGUAAAGAAGCACCGGCUAACUACGUG